rnacentral:lncRNA from 12 species
CUGGAGUCCUAUAGAAAGAUGACAGGCAAUAAAAGAGAAUCAGAACAAGGGCACAUUCUGGAGUUAUGUGAAAAGGUGGGUGCUAUUAAACGUAAGAGAGAGCAGACAGGAGAAUGGGAAGGCAGGUGCGCUUGCCUUGGUGAAUAGGAUGCUGAAGUUCAGUGGCCUACCUUGGAAAGAAACAGCUCCUCUGCUGAGAAUGUUGCUGUUAUGCCUCCCAGCUGUGAAACUCUGCAUCCUGAAGCGUCUGAUUUACCAGCACGCGGUGUUUCCUGCAUGUGCUAGAAUGGAACACACCAAGCCAAACAAGACGUGGCCUUCACCUUCACGGAGUUCAUAUACUUCACAGACAAGAGGAUGCGUGACGUGUUAGUGGCUGGAGACUGAGCAGAAGCCUCCAGAACCAUGGGGACUAGAUUCCUGUCGGUUAGGGCCCCUGGCGAUGGCAUUUUGUUACAGGAACCUGAAUAAGCUAAGACAGUGACCAGUCACAUACACACGGACUGUCAGAUUUUUUGUAUAUAUAAUUAUUCUAUCACAAUCAAGCUAAAAUACACCAAGAUUCUUCUACUGAAAGUAUCUCAACUCAUAAAGAAGUUGGGCUCUUACAUUCUAAGAAGUAGGUAAAUGCCACUCAGAAAUUCGGAGCACCUGGAACAUGCAGGUUAUCAAGUGUAUUCGGGAACUUUUUGAGCUUUGAAAUUCCAUAAAGAAUUCAAAAUUUCUCAAAAAAAUAAGUUACUUUGCUUUCUCCUUUCCUAAAUAUAAAUUCCAUCUGCUCCUGGUCUGACAUGGUCAUUUGAUGUAUAAUAGAUUUCAAUCUCUCCCCUUGUUAGCACAGCAAAGAUCCAUGCCUUGCCACCAGUCUUUUGUACCUUAACUGAAGACUUUUGCUAAUACCCUCAUUUGACACUAAGUCUUGCUCACGAUCUACCACAUAGGUUUUUGCUGCUAAAUGUCAUGGAAAUCACAGA